UGGGGAAUUUUGGACAAUGGGCGCAAGCCUGAUCCAGCCAUGCCGCGUGUCUGAAGAAGGCCUUCGGGUUGUAAAGGACUUUUGUUAGGGAAGAAAAGGAGCGGUUAAUACCCGUUUCUGCUGACGGUACCUAAAGAAUAAGCACCGGCUAACUACGUGCCAGCAGCCGCGGUAAUACGUAGGGUGCGAGCGUUAAUCGGAAUUACUGGGCGUAAAGCGAGCGCAGACGGUUACUUAAGCAGGAUGUGAAAUCCCCCGGGCUCAACCUGGGAACUGCGUUCUGAACUGGGUAGCUAGAGUAUGUCAGAGGGGGGUAGAAUUCCACGUGUAGCAGUGAAAUGCGUAGAGAUGUGGAGGAAUACCGAUGGCGAAGGCAGCCCCCUGGGAUAAUACUGACGUUCAUGCUCGAAAGCGUGGGUAGCAAACAGGAUUAGAUACCCUGGUA
rnacentral:rRNA from 1 species